CCUACGGGAGACAGCAGUGGGGAAUAUUGGGCAAUGGGCGCAAGCCUGACCCAGCAACGCCGCGUGAAGGAAGAAGGCUUUCGGGUUGUAAACUUCUUUUCUGAGGGACGAAGAAAGUGACGGUACCUCAGGAAUAAGCAACGGCUAACUACGUGCCAGCAGCCGCGGUAAUACGUAGGUGGCAAGCGUUAUGCGGAUUGAUUGGGUGUAAGGGGAGUGGAGGGGGUAAAGCAAGUCAGAUGUGAAAACUCAGGGCUCAACCCUGAGCCUGCAUUUGAAACUGUUUUUCUUGAGUGCUGGAGAGGCAAUCGGAAUUCCGUGUGUAGCGGGGAAAUGCGUAGAUAUACGGAGGAACACCAGUGGCGAAGGCGGAUUGCUGGACAGUAACUGACGCUGAGGCGCGAAAGCGUGGGGAGCAAACAGGAUUAGAUACCCUGGUAGUC
rnacentral:rRNA from 1 species